UUGAACGCUGGCGGCAGGCCUCACACAUGCCAGUCGAGCGGAUGAAGGGAGCUUGCUCCUGGAUUCAGCGGCGGACGGGUGAGUAAUGCCUAGGAAUCUGCCUGGUAGUGGGGGAUAACGUCCGGAAACGGGCGCUAAUACCGCAUACGUCCUGAGGGAGAAAGUGGGGGAUCUUCGGACCUCACGCUAUCAGAUGAGCCUAGGUCGGAUUAGCUAGUUGGUGGGGUAAAGGCCUACCAAGGCGACGAUCCGUAACUGGUCUGAGAGGAUGAUCAGUCACGCUGGAACUGAGACACGGUCCAGACUCCUACGGGAGGCAGCAGUGGGGAAUAUUGGACAAUGGGCGAAAGCCUGAUCCAGCCAUGCCGCGUGUGUGAAGAAGGUCUUCGGAUUGUAAAGCACUUUAAGUUGGGAGGAAGGGCAGUAAGUUAAUACCUUGCUGUUUUGACGUUACCAACAGAAUAAGCACCGGCUAACUUCGUG
rnacentral:rRNA from 1 species